UAGAUUUGAAGUACAAUAACCCGGCCUUUUGGAGCGUGACCAGGACGCUUUCCGAUUUAGAAAAACACCCGUAAUUACCAAAUCGCCACCCGAAGAGGGAAAUUUGAUAGGGGAAUGCAGAAGAGGGACCAGAGCAAGUUGGGCGGCACGGCAGGUGGCGCCACCACUCCGGCGGCGAAGAGAGGCCGUCCUUUCGGCAGUGGAGGCAGCAACUCCGCCGCCGCCGCCGCUGCUGACGCGGCUGCUCCAUCCACUCUCCUUGGUCCAUCUCUCCACGUUCACAGUUCCUUCGCUGAUCAAAACAACAAAAGAAUAGUUUUGGCUCUUCAAAGUGGAUUAAAGAGUGAGCUAGGAUGGGCAAUUAAUGCUCUGACAUUACUCUCUUUCAAAGAAAAGGACGAUGUGCGCAAAGAUGCUACUCCUCUUGCUAAAAUACCUGGGUUGCUGGAUGCUCUUCUCCAAGUUAUAGAUGACUGGCGUGAUAUAGCCCUUCCAAAGGAACUUGCAAAAGCGCCAAGAGCCAGGUUGUUAGGUGCUAACUCUUUUGUAACAGGAUUUGGAAAUGAGUAUGAGGCAUUGGGUUCAAAUGAUGUUCUUUCCCAUCCUGGAUCUGGUUCUUCCAUCUCUGAGGCCUCUGUACAGAAGAAUACAACCAAGCUUCGUCCUUCAGAGUGGUGGUUGGAUGAAGAUGGUCUGUUUAAUCUGGAUGAAGAAGGGCGGGCAGAAAAACAGCAAUGUGCUGUUGCAGCUUCAAAUAUCAUUCGCAACUUCUCUUUCAUGCCAGAUAAUGAAGUCAUAAUGGCCCAGCAUCGCCAUUGCUUGGAAACAGUGUUUCAGUGCAUAGAAGAUCACAUCACAGAGGAUGAGGAACUUGUCACGAAUGCACUUGAAACAAUUGUGAAUUUGGCUCCUUUGCUGGAUCUUCGUAUCUUUAGUUCAUCCAAGCCUUCCUACAUCAAAAUAACAGAGAAACGUGCAGUUCAAGCAAUCAUGGGGAUGCUGGGAUCCGCAGUCAAAGCCUGGCAUUGUGCAGCUGCGGAAUUACUUGGGCGUUUGAUAAUAAAUCCUGAUAAUGAACCAUUCCUUCUUCCUUUCGCUUCACAGAUACAUAAGCGUUUGGUUGAUCUUCUGAGCUUGCCCGCUGUAGAUGCACAAGCAGCUGCAGUUGGUGCUCUAUAUAACCUUGCAGAAGUCAAUAUGGACUGCAGGUUGAAGCUUGCUAGUGAGAGAUGGGCAAUUGAUCGCCUGCUGAAAGUUAUCAAGACACCACAUCCAGUACCAGAAGUUUGCAGGAAAGCUGCAAUGAUAAUCGAGAGCCUGGUGUCAGAACCACAAAACAGGGCCCAGCUGCUAGCUUAUGAGAAUGCCUUCGCAGAGAUACUCUUCUCAGAUGGCAGACACUCUGAUACAUUUGCCAGGAUAUUAUAUGAAUUGACAUCUCGACCAAACAACAAAAUGGCUGCAGCUCGUGGUAUCUGGGGCAUGUAACUGAAAACCUGCUUCAUUUGGUGAUUAGGUUCUAUUUUAAAAGAUUAUUGGAAAGGCAAAUACCUGUAUCAUCUAGCUGAACAUAGGCUAAAGACAAGAUAUUUGCAGGAGCCUGAGAGGGAGUGAAUGCAUCAACUACAAUGAAACUUGAAAGAUAGACAAAAAAACUUAUGAUUUCCAGUGUCAUAAGUUUAAUCAUAGGUUUUGAUCUUAUGUGGUAGACCCCAUAUCAUUGUGAAUUCUUGAAUGAGCAUUUCCUAGAUCUAGUUUUUCAGAAACCAAAUGUAGCCUAAAAUUAAAGCUCCUAAACUUAUAAUUUUAUAUGGAUUUUUGGUCGUGGUAAAGCUUGUUGAAAGGCCCUUUUUAUCUAAGAGAGCUUAGAAAUUGUGCCUAAAUAUUUGGUCAGCUGCAAUGAGGGUGAAACUGAAGAUCAAAUUUUCAAACGAUAGCCUACGAUAAACAAGUACUUUUGCUGUUUGCUCAGCUACAUUUACCAAUGCAAGUUGCCUAGAACUUUAUGCAAAUGCCAUUUUCAAUUUUAGACUGAA